GACGAACGCUGGCGGCGCGCCCAACACAUGCAAGUCGAACGGAGCUGCGAGAAGCUUGCUUUUCUUAGCUUAGUGGCGAACGGGUGAGUAACGCGUGAGUAACCUGCCCUGGAGUGGGGGACAACAGUUGGAAACGACUGCUAAUACCGCAUAAGCCCACGAUCCGGCAUCGGAUUGAGGGAAAAGGAUUUAUUCGCUUCAGGAUGGACUCGCGUCCAAUUAGCUAGUUGGUGAGGUAACGGCCCACCAAGGCGACGAUUGGUAGCCGGACUGAGAGGUUGAACGGCCACAUUGGGACUGAGACACGGCCCAGACUCCUACGGGAGGCAGCAGUGGGGGAUAUUGCACAAUGGGGGAAACCCUGAUGCAGCGACGCCGCGUGGAGGAAGAAGGUUUUCGGAUUGUAAACUCCUGUCGUUAGGGACGAUAAUGACGGUACCUAACAAGAAAGCACCGGCUAACUACGUG
rnacentral:rRNA from 1 species